AGAGGAGAGGAUAGGUGGAGAGGAAACAAACAGGUCGAAGAGGCAGUGAUGGAGCCAGUAAAGGUGCCUGUUAAUGAUGAAAGAUUUGCUGUAUUACAAUAAUCGUGGGGGACUUCACAAUGCAGGUGGACUGGGAAAAUCAGUUUAGAUUUUCUCUGUGCUGAUCUGUUAUAUGGAAUUAGGAGCAUGAUGUCCUUGGAAAAAAUUAUAUGGAAAAAAUGAAGUCGCACAAAAUAAUAAAUCAGAACAAAUCCAUGAAUUAAAUAUUGAUUUCUGCAUA